rnacentral:rRNA from 1 species
CCUACGGGGGGCAGCAGUGGGGAAUAUUGCACAAUGGGGGAAACCCUGAUGCAGCGACGCCGCGUGAAGGAAGAAGUAUUUCGGUAUGUAAACUUCUAUCAGCAGGGAAGAAAAUGACGGUACCUGACUAAGAAGCCCCGGCUAACUCCGUGCCAGCAGCCGCGGUAAUACGUAGGGGGCAAGCGUUAUCCGGAUUUACUGGGUGUAAAGGGAGCGUAGGCGGUUUAGCAAGUCAGAAGUGAAAGCCCGGGGCUCAACUCCGGGACUGCUUUUGAAACUGUUGAACUAGAGUGCAGGAGAGGUAAGUGGAAUUCCUAGUGUAGCGGUGAAAUGCGUAGAUAUUAGGAGGAACACCAGUGGCGAAGGCGGCUUACUGGACUGUAAAUGACGCUGAGGCUCGAAAGCGUGGGGAGCAAACAGGAUUAGAUACCCUAGUAGUC